AGCAGGAAGCCCGUCGGACCCGACUCUUUGCUGACUCUUUCAUCUCCCAGCAGCUCCAGGAAGCAACAACAACAAAAAAAGGGGAGUCUGCUGCCAUCACCCCCAUCCAAACCAGGCUCAGGAAAUUUUCCAGGGCCAGGCUGCCUUUGUGGAAGCUAUGUAAGGACUGGAGAAACACGUGUUCUCAUGCAAACAAACCCCACAACAAAACAAGAGAUGCUGCCUUUGGACUGGACUUUGUCCAGCCUGGAGUCACAGUGCCAGUCAAGAGCCCCUCCAGAAUACUUGUACCUGGAUCUUCACUAGGGCCGGCCAGAGCAGAAUGCAGUGUUCUCAGGACUGCGAAGCUGGGUCACCCACACCUGGUUGGACUUGAUAAGUGUCAUAACCUAACGAAGGAUGCCAUUCUGUACUCUCCAGUGCCUGGGGGAGCCCCAGUGGGAACGGAUCCAGAUGGUGCUGGGCCUGGGCCAACAGUGAAAUGGGGGAGGACGGGUCCUUUCUCUCCUUUGUCCCUAACCUCCCCACUUCCUACUGCUGUCUGACUCAGAACUCUCAUGAAAAACCCAACUUCUUACACUGAUAUUUCCCAGAGGCCUAAUUGUGCAACAAGAAAUAAAAACACAAUUAGAGAACUGAGGUCCAGCAGGAAAUUCACAUUACAUAAAUAAGACCUGGAGUGUGUAGGGGAGCGCCCCAACUCCCAGCCUUGUUAGUACUGAAGGCUGCGAGCACACAGCUAAGGGAUCCUCUGAUUUGGUGGAUAACCCUUGUGAACAAUAGUUCUCUGAAAAGGGAUUUAGAGGAAAGAGACUUUAUUCCUGUAAACAGUUUUCAAACUAGGGAAAGGCAGCCUUCGGUGUAAAAUGAAGGCGCUUUCCAGACAACAAAGGAGGGGCUGGGCUUUUAUAGAGAAAGUUCCUGCCUAUGUUUUCACUCAGGUCCACUUAUGCAAAUAAAAGAUUCAAACUUGCUUAAUCUGAUUGGUUGAUGCUUGCUGAGUUCUGAUUUGUUGACACAGGUCAUAGUCUAUUGGUUGGUUUGGGCAACAUAAACAGGAACAGGAAGCUAUGAAAGUCCCAAAGUUAAGCAGAUGUGGGUUUUUCCGGCAACUCAAAAUACACGCGUGACUUCUAGUCAGCAAGUUGCCGCUUGGCUCUAAAUUGAAUUUAAGCCCCAUUAGCCAGAGUGUGAACCUUGAGAGAGCUGGCCUUUCAAGGUUCACACUCUUCACAUGGGCUGGAGAGAUUCCUAUCAUGACUGAUUUUUCCAUUCAUCCAUUGACAGACACUUGGAUUGCUUCCACCUUUAGGGUGUUGUGGAUAACACCAACACUCCUACAAACAUGGGUGUACAAAAGGCUAAUUCUCAACCAUGGUUUAUGUAGCUAGAGGGAAAAUGCCAAAAGCUGCAUUAUGAGAAACAGUAAAGUCAAAACUGGAAAGACGGAUCAAAGCGUAGUGUCUCCCUGAAACCCCUCCUACUAGGCUUGAGGUGAAGGAGAAGCACAGGAAGAAAAGUGCCUCAGUGCUCCAACAACUUUUUCCAAAGAAACCCUCUUUCUCAUUUCCAACUUUAAACCUUUUAAAGCUUUGACUGGCAUAGAGCUAAGGGUUGGAAAACAUCAUCACUUCCCUGCUUUGCAAGUCUGUGUGGAUAGUUGUAUGUUAUCACCAAAGGUGGCCACCAUCAUUUCCUUCUCUCCCUAUAUGUGAUUUCCUUCUCUAUUGGCUUCAUUCAUCAAGAAGUAGAGGCGAUUCCUGCUCUUCCUCUUUGAACUUGGGCUAGCCCUGUGAUUUGUCUUCACCAUUGGACAUGGAGGAAGUGAUAUGGUGCCGGUGCUUAGCCUGGCCUUUGAGAGACCUGACAUCUUCGACUCUCUCUCAGGAGAGAAUGCAGCAGGCAUGUAAGAAGGCUGAUGAAUCAGACCACCAUAUUAUGAGGAAGCCCAAGCUAGCCGCAUGGAAAGGGCACACAGAGAGUGGAGGAACCAAACCAACAGAAGCCUGAAGUCCCCAGCCAUACGACCCAGGCUCUUAGCAUGCUGAAGCUGGGAGGGAGCUUCGAGAUGAUGAGGACGCCAAGGUCUCGUGAGGGGCUGCCCUGGUGAACACAGGCCCCGGUACUGAAUAAGUCCUUCCCGGUUCGAACUCGAUUGUCACGGUGUCAUUUUUGCCAGCUUCCAUCGACUCUGCUCAUCUCUGUUUCCUUGUUGUUAAAGGGGACAGCAAUGGCACAAUUCUCAUCUGGCUGCGUCGAUGAUUAAAUAAGGUAUUUAAUCCUUGAUGUGGCGCCUGGCACUUAGUAAGUGCCCAUAAAGUGGGUGGCUCAUGGCUAUCACUCCUGGGCCUUGUUCUCACAGCGGCAUUCCUGCUCCUGUGUUUGCCCUCUGUUUGGUUACCAUGGGUGCUGUGUUUGUGCAGAGCUUCAGCAGGACUUGGUGCUGCGAACAUUCAUCUUGCCUCUGCCUGGUGAUCUGGUGAGCAGGUGCUGCUGUCUGUAAGAGGAAGGGGCCAGCUGCCCACGGGACAGCAGCAGCUGUCUGGCCUCCCCGGGCUAGUGGCCAGGGGGCUGCCUUCCCCAUCAGGGGUGGCACCCACUCAGAGUACUUUUGCUUUUGGGACUCAGCCGGACGUCUGUUUUGGGUGAGAGGAUGCCCGCUCUUCCUUCCCUCCCAGGAUGCCCCUGUUUCAGGCUCUCUGCAGCAGUCCUGCCUUGAAUUGGCUGUGUGAUCUGAGGCUGGUCACUUAACCUCUCUGGUUAUCCAUAUCCUCAUCCAUAGAAUGGAGAUAAUCAUUCUCACCACUGAGGGAUGCUGUGAGGAUCGGGCAAGUCCACAAGUGUGACCUUUUAGCACGUUCGGCCUCUUCUGUGAUCCUGAAGUCACGUUUGACACUGGCGGCAUCCACAUCCG